rnacentral:rRNA from 1 species
CACGGCCCAAACUCCUACGGGAGGCAGCAGUAGGGAAUCUUCCACAAUGGACGAAAGUCUGAUGGAGCAACGCCGCGUGAGUGAAGAAGGGUUUCGGCUCGUAAAACUCUGUUGUUAAAGAAGAACAUAUCUGAGAGUAACUGUUCAGGUAUUGACGGUAUUUAACCAGAAAGCCACGGCUAACUACGUGCCAGCAGCCGCGGUAAUACGUAGGUGGCAAGCGUUGUCCGGAUUUAUUGGGCGUAAAGCGAGCGCAGGCGGUUUUUUAAGUCUGAUGUGAAAGCCUUCGGCUCAACCGAAGAAGUGCAUCGGAAACUGGGAAACUUGAGUGCAGAAGAGGACAGUGGAACUCCAUGUGUAGCGGUGAAAUGCGUAGAUAUAUGGAAGAACACCAGUGGCGAAGGCGGCUGUCUGGUCUGUAACUGACGCUGAGGCUCGAAAGUAUGGGUAGCAAACAGGAUUAGAUACCCUGGUAGUCCAUACCGUAAACGAUGAAUGCUAAGUGUUGGAGGGUUUCCGCCCUUCAGUGCUGCAGCUAACGCAUUAAGCAUUCCGCCUGGGGAGUACGGCCGCAAGGCUGAAACUCAAAGGAAUUGACGGGGGCCCGCACAAGCGGUGGAGCAUGUGGUUUAAUUCGAAGCUACGCGAAGAACCUUACCAGGUCUUGACAUACUAUGCAAAUCUAAGAGAUUAGACGUUCCCUUCGGGGACAUGGAUACAGGUGGUGCAUGGUUGUCGUCAGCUCGUGUCGUGARAUGUU